UGCAAGGAGAAAGGGAAAGGGUGGUGAGAAGAAUGGGGGAAGAGGGAAGGGGAAGGAACUGCAGGUCUAUCAUCUGAGUCUGAAAUGGUUAAGAAUAUGACGUUUUUGAAUGAAGCAAAUUCUACUGGUGAAAAUACCCUUGAGAUUGUUAAUGAAACUAGGACUUCUGAGGAAAAGGACUCUGUUUCAAGCACUGGUUUAACCUCAGAAUCAGGAAGGGAAUCAAGCAGAUCUUUAGGAUUUGAUGAAAGAAAUGAAAGUUCCACUGUGGAAUGUAUUGAGAUAGCAAAUAAUGGUUCAGCAACAGAGCAGAUAGGAAAUCUUGGACUGAGCAUUUACAACAAUACUAUUUCUCAUUCCCCUUCUCAUGCAAUAGCUCCACCUCUAAGUCAAACAGAAGUGAGCCCAAAUAUUACGUCUCCAAUGUUAUCAAAUGCUUAUGAUGAAACUGAUUUCAUGGAGGAAGAGAGGUUCAGGCCAUCAAAAGAUGAAUUCAAUAUAGUAGGCAAUAAUUCUUCUAUCAACCGUGUGCCUAAGGAGACUGAAAUGAAUGAGUUAUUGCUUCAGAACCGUGCCUCAUAUUGUUCUAUGAGGCCAAGGUGGUCUUCAGCUGUUGAUCAAGAGCUAUUGCAGGCCAGAUCGGAGAUUGAAAAUGCACCAAUUGUAAAUAAUGCUGAAAAUCUUUACACUCCCCUUUUCUGAAACAUUUCCAGGUUCAAGAGGAGCUAUGAAUUAAUGGAAAGAACUCUUAAAGUGUAUGUGUAUAGAGAAGGAGACAAACCCAUAAUGCAUUCACCAUAUCUUUUGGGAAUUUAUGCUUCGGAGGGAUGGUUCAUGAGGCUGAUGGAAGCUAGUAAACAAUUUGUGACUAAAGACCCAAAGAAAGCCCAGCUAUGUUACUUACCUUUCAGUUCUCGGAGGCUAGAGGAAACUUUGUAUGUACCGAAUUCACAUAGUUCUAGGAACCUGAUUCAGUAUCUGAAAAAUUAUGUAGACAUGAUUGCUGGGAAACAUCGUUUCUGGAACAGAACAGGAGGUGCUGAUCAUUUUCUUGUUGCUUGCCAUGAUGGGGCCCCUACAGAAACACGGCAACACAUGGCUAGGUGCUUAAGAGCCCUAUGCAAUGCUGAUGUGAAAGAAGGUUUUGUCUUGGGAAAGGACGUUUCUCUUCCUGAAACUUAUGUCCGCAAUGCUCCGAAGCCCACUAGAAAUGUUGGCGGAAACCGAGUUUCAAAGAGGAAAACUCUGGCGUUUUUCGCAGGAGGAAUGCAUGGUUAUGUUAGGCCAAUUCUGUUGCAGCACUGGGAAAAUAAAAACCCUGCCAUGAAAAUCUUCGGGAGACUGCCAAAGUCUAAGGGCAACAGGAACUACAUCCAGUACAUGAAGAGCAGCAAGUACUGUAUUUGUGCAAAGGGAUACGAAGUCAAUAGCCCAAGAGUUGUGGAGGCUAUCUUCCAUGAAUGUGCGUAACAUCCUCUAUCCCUCACAAAUAACGAAUAAAGGAAAUAAAAUU